rnacentral:lncRNA from 1 species
UAACAAGUAUUGUUCAGGUCUAAUAAAUGACUUAUACUGUUUAGAGAAAGAGAACAAAUAGUGAAUUAGUAGAUUUCCUAGCUUGGAACUAGAUUAUAAAGCUUAAUUUCAAGAAUGCUUAUGAAGGUUCAGGCAGGAUGCAUAAAAACUACUACUGCCAUUCUUCGGAAAGCUCCGAAAUCACACUACCUAAAAGCAAAGAAUCAAACUCUCCUAGGAUUUUACAUUGAUGAUUUUUGAUGUUACGAAAGGAGAAGCAAUGAUGUCAAAGUUUUCAAAAGAAAAAAUAUUAUUCAGUCAAAAUUCGAGUCAGUUAGGGAUCCAGCUGGUUUGAAAAAAAUUAUGAUACAUUUUACAGAAGAAAGACACCUAAUCCCACCACUCAGAGAUCAAUCUUUAAAAUAAAGGCUAUAUUUCAGAAAAAUUAUGAUGAAAAAUGAAAGAGAGAGGACAUACAUGAAAUUCAAGAAGUUUUCUCUCAAAGUUAAAAAAAUGAGAAAAGAAAGAAAAUGAGAGGGAGAGAAAGGAAAAAAAGAAAGGAAUGAAGGGAGAGAGAGAGAGGGAGGGAGGCAGAUACAUUGUGUGUGUAUGUAUGUGUAUGCAAUCUCUGCAUUUUCUUAAUUGCUGUAAUUGAGUUUUUUCUGUUUAGAUUAUUAGUUGCCUUCUGCAUCUUUCCUGUGAAGGCCAUGCUCUCUCUUAGCUCUGACUCUCAGUCACCCAUUGGUGGCCUCAGCUAUCUUGACCCAGGUGGUUACUCUCUUAGGGAAUUCUAGGUCAAUCUCUCAAAUCGAAAGGAAAAGCCUUCUCCCCAACAAUGAAUGGUCUGAUCAUAUAGAAUCUAGCAGGCUACAAGUCCCAUUCCCUAGCCAAGGUAUUUACAAGAUCAAGCAUAUUGAUGGGGCUGACUUUAAACUUUCUCACAGCAGUCCACAGAGCUCUGCAGUUCACAUUUUUUUUCAGGAGCUACACUAUGGUCUCAAGAAGACUCUCCAAUACAAUGGGGUCUAUGCAGUUUGCUUCAUCCAUAACACAGAAACACCACAUCCAUUCUGGAUCAACUCCCAUACCAAUACUACCAGAAGAAUUAACUUAGACCUAGCCACUUACAUCUUUCAACAGCUAUUCGAAUCUGGAGAGGCAAGGUGAAUAGCCGGGGAUGAUGUGUAGUGUGAGAAGUCUGACUCUUGGCCAAAACCUAUGCAUGACUUUUCAGGCAUGACCAUAGGCAGUUAUAAAAUGUUAGUUGUUUUGCCCAUGGAGAAAGCUGGUCUGUCCACACCAGAGUUGGGUCACAGCCAGUGCAUCACAGUCUCCGAAGGGAGUUGCAGUCAAGGACCCAGGCCUCCUGCCCAUCCAUACUCUUACUCAUAUCUGCCUUCCUAAACCAGGGGUUUCUGUUUGGAGGCCUCUUCAUAGGGGAGGAGAAGUAGCUCAGCUGAGGACUUCUUCAGGCUCCUCUGCCAAGGCCACCUUGUGGAGUUGGGGCAUGGAGACUUGAAGUUGCUUUUGUCCACUCUAACUCAGUAUUUAGGACUGUUCAGCUCCUGCUCCUAUUCCUGCCUCAUCCAGGGGAGAAACAAAAACACCAAAUAAACCAAAAACCCACAGGAGCCUUCUGUUCCAGUUUCUCUUGGCAUUGAGACAGUCGCUGUGUUUGCUGAUUUUCCUGAUCCUCACCUGGCACUGUUCCAUGAUGAAAAAGGGAAUAUUGAAGAAAGGGAUGCUUUCUCUUGUGUAGCUUCUUGCUGAAUUUAUCUCAGUAAGUUAAUAAGGCUUGACUGCUACUUUCAUUUUGGCUUGUUUGUUGUAAUAGAUCUGGCAGCACCUGGUAGCUCAGCUCUCUCCAGGUCAGUUCUGCUCGCCACAUCACAGAUGUUACGGUGCCACCCAGACACCACUUCAGGACCCAGUUGUUCCUGCCAGCUUCUGAGAGUGUUGACUUUUAAGAGUUCUCAGUUGAGUAGCUUCCCAGGCAUUUCCUCCAACCUAAGGAAGUUGUCACAGCCCAUGUUUACACCCUGUUCAUGAAGUAGCAAUCAUUCGGUAACCCAAACAAGUGGGAAUAAAAAGGUCUGGCCCUCUGACCUCAUUAAAGAGCGUCUCUGAAGAGUCAACG